GCCUCUUUGUUGUUAGGGUUUUCUGGUCCUCUGCACUGCAUCGACGUAGUCACCUUCUUCCUCUUCGUAUGUUCUGUUCUUCCUGUAACGUUUUUUUUCAAUACUAAUCAAAUCGAUCUUUAAUUCUAUCAUUACACUCCGACCACCUCUCUUCUCUCUCUGUCAUUUAUUUCCAUUAAGGACAGCCUCUGUAACCGAUUGAAGCUUCCCAUAUAUAUAAGGGUUUUUGGGGCAAUAGAGAUUUGCACAGAUUUCUUGCUUCUUUACAAAACAGUCGCGAGCCCUUACUCUCGAAAAUGGCGUCUUCCUAUGUUCUUCUCGGCAACCUGAGAGCAGGCCGUUGCUCAAACACGGCAGAGGUGCCUCUUUUGAGGUUCUGGGAAACACAAAAUAUCAGAAAAAGUGGAGAGCUUAUGAGUCUUGAUAUGCUUCUUCUCAAUGAGCAGUGAAGACUCCGUGUACUCCGCUCAGUGGUUUCGAACUCUCACGAAAUGAGGUUUGAUCUGUAUAUAUCAGUGCAUUUACACACCUUACACUGGCAGGAAAGCUAUUUCUGAAUGCCACAUCUGGUACCCACUUUUAUUUUGACUGUGAAUCAUCUGUCGGGAAAGAACAUUUUGAAAAGUUGGUUGGUGAUGGGUCCAAUGCGAGUUCCUUAUCUAAAGUGGUCCCUGCACAAAAAACAGAGCCCCUAACCGUUUCUGAACUGAAUCAAUGUGUCCUUACAGUCGAUCCUCAAGGGAAUGACCAUGGACCUGAUGACAAUGGCGAUGGUGCGGAGUUAUCUGAUGUUGUGACAUCAGAAGUUGAUGAGGGUUCCAUUGUCAACAACCAGCCAUCCGCUUCCACUGUCCCAGUUCCCAGUCGUCAAGCUGCAAACAAACGAACUUGUCAAUGAAGAAAACGUGAAGAAGCAGGUACGGUAGGAGUAGAUCAACGUGGAUUAAACAAUUCUCCACCACUUUGCUUAUCAAAUAAUGUUUUAUCAUCUCUUCCCUUUAUAAUUUGAACUCAUAUUUUACAUUUAUAACUCUUUAUCUUGGUGGAUGUUUAAACUACAAAUGCAAUUUGUUCCCUUUGUUUAUGAUAAUAGAUAACUUUUAUCUAUUUUGUGCA